rnacentral:rRNA from 2 species
GAACAGAUGAGAAGCUUGCUUCUCUGAUGUUAGCGGCGGACGGGUGAGUAACACGUGGGUAACCUACCUAUAAGACUGGGAUAACUCCGGGAAACCGGGGCUAAUACCGGAUAAUAUAUUGAACCGCAUGGUUCAAUGUUGAAAGACGGUUUCGGCUGUCACUUAUAGAUGGACCCGCGCCGUAUUAGCUAGUUGGUAAGGUAACGGCUUACCAAGGCAACGAUACGUAGCCGACCUGAGAGGGUGAUCGGCCACACUGGAACUGAGACACGGUCCAGACUCCUACGGGAGGCAGCAGUAGGGAAUCUUCCGCAAUGGGCGAAAGCCUGACGGAGCAACGCCGCGUGAGUGAUGAAGGUCUUAGGAUCGUAAAACUCUGUUGUUAGGGAAGAACAAAUUUGUUAGUAACUGAACAAGUCUUGACGGUACCUAACCAGAAAGCCACGGCUAACUACGUGCCAGCAGCCGCGGUAAUACGUAGGUGGCAAGCGUUAUCCGGAAUUAUUGGGCGUAAAGCGCGCGUAGGCGGUUUCUUAAGUCUGAUGUGAAAGCCCACGGCUCAACCGUGGAGGGUCAUUGGAAACUGGGGAACUUGAGUGCAGAAGAGGAGAGUGGAAUUCCAUGUGUAGCGGUGAAAUGCGCAGAGAUAUGGAGGAACACCAGUGGCGAAGGCGGCUCUCUGGUCUGUAACUGACGCUGAUGUGCGAAAGCGUGGGGAUC